GAUGAACGCUGGCGGCGGGCCUAAUACAUGCAAGUCGAGCGGACAGACGAGGAGCUUGCUCUCCUGACGUUAGCGGCGGGCGGGGGAGUGAAACGUGGAUAACCUACCUAUAAGACGGGGAUAACUUCGGGGAACCGGUGCCAAUAACGGAUAAUAUAUUCAACCGCAUGGAUCAGUAGUUAAAGACGGCUUGCCUGUCACUUUGAGAUGGAUCCGCGCCGCAUUAGCUAGUUGGUAAGGUAACGGCUUACCAAGGCAACGAUGCGUAGCCGACCUGAGAGGGUGAUCGGCCACACUGGAACUGAGACACGGUCCAGACUCCUACGGGAGGCAGCAGUAGGGAAUCUUCCGCAAUGGGCGAAAGCUUGACGGAGCCACGCCGCGUGAGUGAUGAAGGUCUUCGGAUCGUAAAACUCUGUUAGUAGGGAAGAACAAAUGUGUGAGUAACUAUGCACGUCUUGACGGUACCUAAACAGAAAGCCACGGCUAACUACGUG
rnacentral:rRNA from 1 species